AUAUAAAAAAUAAAAAAAAUAAAAAAAUAAAGAAAAAAAUAUAAAAAAUUAUUUUUUUCUACAAAAAAAAUAAAGAAUCGGAGAGAAAAGAAAAGGAUGAUGAAGAUGCAGUAUUUUUAAAAAACAUUGCACUGUUUUAAAAAAAAUUUCUCCUCUUCUUCCUCCUCAUUUCUCUUUGUUUUUGUGUGUAGCAGGAGAAAUAGUAUAAUUUUCGCCCAAAAAGUGCAAGUUCGUUCGAAAAGUGCAGCUUUCAUUCAGAAAAGUGAAAAUUUUUUAAAAUAGCGCAACGUUCCUCUGAAACACUGUAUCUUCAUCAUCAUCUUCUUUUCUCUCUGAUUCUUUAUUUUAGUUUAUAUUUUAUUCUUUAUUCUUUUUAAUUUAUUUAUUUUAUAUUUUUUUCUUGGCUCCGCUCUUACCCGCGCUCGCUCCGAGUCCUCCUUCAACGGUGCCGGUGUCGGUGCCUGCGCCGGCGAAAGCGGAGUAAGAGGAUGCGAUGCUAUCUUUGUUAUCGUUGUGGAAGAUCGCGGAGGCGGUUGAGGAGGGGUCGAAGAGUAAAAAAAAAGAACGAGAGAAAAGUAGAGGAAGAGGAUACGACGUUACUCUCUUUACUGUCGUAAAGAGCCAGGGAGGCAAUAGAGGAGGGUCGGAGAGAAAAA
rnacentral:lncRNA from 1 species